ACUGAGAUGGUGGAACACAGAUCGACGGCUGCCACCUGAGCUCCACUAAUGACAGAAGUAUAAAGAGAACUCCAGUCUCCAGAGCUAUUAUUCUGGUGCUUCCCAUUAUCAAGUUAAUACUGGCUAUGAUUGAAUUCUAACAGAAAAAUGAUUGCUAUAAAGAAGAACUGACAACGGGUGCUAUUUUAGAAAAAUAAGGACUCAGGAUGAGUACAUGAAGGUGGAGCUCAACUCAUCAUGUCUGAAGUCUGGGACAACCACUUCAUGUGAUUAUCACAUACUUGAAUGAAGCCACAGUCAUAGGUUCAACCUCCAUGUAAGUCAUUCAUUUGUUCUUUCAAUUUUUAAAAAUUAAUCUUCAGUACUUUUUUCUUUUUCUUUUCCUUUUUUUUUUUUUUUUUUUUUUUUACCAGAGCAUAGAAUACAACAUUCUAAACACCAGUCAGGUAUGAAUCCUGUCCUUGCCUGUCAUGUCUUCAAGUGGAAUUGUGGCUGGGUCAAAGCUAACUCAUUCCCAAACCUGGGAAAAAAUAUACAAACUCUAAUUAUGCCCUAGUAGGCCCAUUUCUGUGCAUAAACAUAGGGCUUAAGUAUUGUUUUAAAAGAAGUAUGGACUUUGGCUAUUUUCGUUCAUUAUCAAAAAUUUAUUUUAGGCAAAGGUCUUUGGAUCCUUCUGUUAAUUUUCACAAGACCAAAUAACAUUUGACAAUACCGAUGUGAAAAGAUGAAUCACUGGUUGCAGCUGGCUCAAAGAGAUUCACAGAAGCAUAUGCAGCCAGUUCACUUCAAAACAUAUCUGUUGAGCACCAACUAUGUGCCAGGCACUAUAUAAGGUGCUGAGGACCCAAAGAGGAAAUUACAAGGAUUCCGCCCACAAGGCACUCACAAUCACUAGAAGCAGAUCUUGAGAUGGAGAAUAAAUUCUGUUAUAAUCUAUCGUCCUAAAGGAAGAUAAAAUAGCUGCAAGCACAUAUAAUUACUUUAUACUCUAUGAAAUUGGGCAUAUUUAGAAGUGGCAAAUGUCAAUUAUUCAGUCUGUAUUUUACUUAAAGUGUUUUAAUAUGUCCUAUAUGGAAAAAAAAAAUAAGCUGUUUGAAUCUUCAUGCGUGAGGGAGAUGGUAGAGAAAAUUCCUCCCUCCAAUU